CCUACGGGAGGCAGCAGUGGGGAAUAUUGGACAAUGGGGGGAACCCUGAUCCAGCCAUGCCGCGUGUGUGAAGAAGGCCCUCGGGUUGUAAAGCACUUUCAGUGAGGAAGAACGCCUGGUGGUUAAUACCCAUCAGGAAAGACAUCACUCACAGAAGAAGCACCGGCUAACUCCGUGCCAGCAGCCGCGGUAAUACGGAGGGUGCGAGCGUUAAUCGGAAUUACUGGGCGUAAAGCGCGCGUAGGUGGCUUGAUAAGCCGGUUGUGAAAGCCCCGGGCUCAACCUGGGAACGGCAUCCGGAACUGUCAAGCUAGAGUGCAGGAGAGGAAGGUAGAAUUCGCGGUGUAGCGGUGAAAUGCGUGGAGAUCGGGAGGAAUACCAGUGGCGAAGGCGGCCUUCUGGACUGACACUGACACUGAGGUGCGAAAGCGUGGGUAGCAAACAGGAUUAGAUACCCUGGUAGUC
rnacentral:rRNA from 1 species